UUCACAAGCCUCUGUUAAUGUGUACCUAGUUUAUACUAAGUGAGCCAUAGGUUGAGGAGGUGGUGACCAUCAUGUUUUUUUUUUUUUUUAAUUGUGGUAGCCCACAAAAUAUUGGAACAUACAAAUAAAGAAACAUUUGCGGCCUGUUACGCAGAGUAGCUGUUGACAUUAUAGUUGUGCAGGAACUUUGUUGACUCUAGAGAACCUCGGGCAAAUCACACAUCCCUGUGGCGGCGACUUUGCAUGCGGUUGUCAUCCAUAUCAACUUUCGAUGCCAGUUUCUGCGCCUACCAUGGUGAACACGGGGAAUCAGGGUUCCAUUCCGUACAUGAACCCUGAGAAACGGCUAACACAUGCAAGGAAGGCAGCAGGAGCGUAAAUGACCAACUCCCGACACGGGAAGGUAGUGAUGAA